rnacentral:lncRNA from 1 species
AGCAAUUAAGCUUUGUCUGGAUAAGGUUUUAGUUAAGCAGGAAACUCAUAAUUGCAAACGCUUGGAACUUAAAGCUAAACAAUUUGCUGCCACCUUAAAGACACAGAACCAAGUAAAUCCACCGUCAUGCAAAAAUCCUCAACAACCUGAAAUAUACUCGCUUCAGCUAGUUCCUUGGCAAUUAAUUCUCUGCAUUAGCAUGUAUGAAAUGAAUAAAAACCAUUGGAGCAACAGAAAUAAAGUACUACAUUCUCUGAGUCAGCUUUUAAAAACUGACAGCAACAAGCUUGAUUUAGAAUCAGUUUACUGGCUCCCAAGCACAAACUUCUAUAGAAGAGUGGUAAUUUCCUUCUCCUGUUCCAAUAUACCACGCAAGCUUUUAAACAUACGUAGGUUUUUAAGUGAUAAAUUUGGGAUAUGCAUACAAAGGAUGUUCAAAGAAACUGGCAUUCAACCCUUAUUCAGGAAUAGGUUUAGAAAUACAAAGAUAAAUACUAUACAAACAAACGUAACUCCUUUGGAGAAUCAAACACAAGGCCCUUCUAGUGUAGAAGAGACUUAUCUGGAUGAGGAAGAAACACUCCUAAAUUUAUUUUCCGACCUACCUCAGAAAGAGCAAAAUAACAUUUUGGAUCGACUAAAUACUUUAAAACUGACACUAGCAAAGAAGCAAAAUCCAAAUGCAGAUGAUCUUGCCACUGUGAAGAAGGCAAAAAUGAGAAAAACUACUCAGCCAUACAGCGAAGGAAUGCAGGAGGUAGACAAAACUGUUCUUUCAGCAUCAAAAUGCAAAGGCCAGAUGGACACCUUGGCCUUAAAUUCAUCUACGAGAGCAAAUAGAACUGCCUCAUCUAUGGACAUUUCAAAUUAUUUGAUUUCAAAUCCCAAACGAAAGCUUAGGGCAAACACAAAAAUGACCCGUGACAACUGUGAGUGGACUAAAAUGAGAUUUUUGGAAGAACAUGAAUUAGGUCAUUCNCCAAACACCCCCGUGGACACUGAGCAACCUAAAAAGAGCACAGCACCAAAAAUUUCAAAUGUAUGCAGACCCUCCUCACAGACAGAUCUCAUCAAAACUUUAGAUGAAGCAGCUCGUGACCCGAGACCAGCACGACAGACCAAUAAUGACUACUUGACUACAAACCAGGACAACAUAUCUAGCUUUGAUAAAAUGCUAAUAAAAUCCACCUGACUAAGAUGCCCACAUUCCAACCCACUCAAUCUAUCAAUUCUAUCAUGGAAUAUUGCUGGUUGGACAAGGAAAGCCUUCG